rnacentral:lncRNA from 1 species
UUGUUAGCUGCCACAGUCGGUGCUCGGAUUUCCAGUCUAUGACCAUGAAUGUUGGGGCGGUCAUAAGUGCCAAUGGGUCGAGAUGCUCGCUGUGGGUGUUGUGAAACGUUGUGGAACGUUGUUGGCUCCAUUGGCGUUCGCAUCAUCUUGAGGUUGGUCUCCCAUAUUAAUAUCCAAUCUCUGCAAGUAAGGCUGUUGCUCUUCUUCUCUUCUCUUUCUAGCACACUCUCUCUCUAUAGCUCUGAUGUCUGCAACUCUGGGAACUAGGUUUGAUGGACCCCUGCUCCUCAAGUUCAUACACCUGAAAGUAAAAGGGAGGUGAAGAAGGAGAAUCAGUAACAAGAGAAAAAAAUAAAAAUGACUUAGUCUCAAGCAAGUGACUAAAUCUCAAUGUUCAAAUCUACUCAGAAUUUGGCAACGACACCAAUUUGAUGUUAAGAGUUUUCAAGGCUCCUAAGACAAAUGAUGUAGUAUAAAAGAUUGUCGAACCAAUUCUAAGGGAUUUCAAAGCACUGAGAAUGCAAGCACUCACUUAAUCUAAGUGCAACCGGUGAUUUAAAAGAUUUCUAAACUAAUGACUAAUGCUAAUGCAGUUGCAGAAUAAUAAAAGCGAUAAAUGAAGUAACUUUCUUAACUAAGGGAAAAAAGAACUCAUGGGCAUAGGGAUUAGACCUUGGGUGAUCAAGUUUCGAACUAAGGAUGGCAAACGAUCAAUCAAACUAUCAACCUUAAGCUUAGACACAGUUCUAAACAAGCUCUAUGUCUAGAUGAAUGUUCAUUUACUAACACAUUUCAAACAUCAAAUGUCUUUGGUUGAAUAAUAUGAAUGCAAUCAUUACUAACAAGUCAAAUGGCUAUCUUAGCAUCUCUAACAACAAAUGUCUUUGGCAAAGUAUGCUAAAAGCUUAGAAGAGUUGUCUCAGGCAUUUCAUCAAACACCUUUUGGGUGGAAAAUGCCUAAAGAUCAGCUUUUGAGAUGCCAACUCAGAAGAUGCAUUAUGAAUACUCUACUAGCAAGGACUAAGAAUGAUCUACACUAAAACAUCCUAGCUCUAACCUAAUCACCCUUAAUCUCCCUAACCCAUG